UUUACUCUGCUGCCACCUCAAGGUUCGGAAAAGAGUGGGUUAUGACUAUGUUGAAUCAUAAUGGACUGUCCACACACCUGUUCAGAGUGUUUCGCCGUUAGGCCCGAGGCGCUGGAAUGGGUUCCUGCAAUCCCGGACACUACAACACGUAGAAGAUGGAUGUGUAUGUGAUUAAAAUCAGGCGAACUCGUGCAGGUUAAAGGUUUAGCCUCAAUAAAGUUUGUGAAAUGUGCUUAUUUUCCAAAGAGACAGCGUCAGUGAAGAGCUUGAGAAAUAUGAGACACGUAAUUUGUGAAGAAAACAGCGAAAAAUCAGGAGGGCAGGAAUUCCUUGAGUACUGGACAGACCGUGCCACAGUCAUAUCGACUGCAUGCAUAUUGAUAAUUCUGCAGCGAAUGCUGGAUCCGAUCUGCGGAGUCUACAGUCACUGCGGUAAACAGGUCUCUGAGAAAAAGGAUGAAGACCUAAAGGGGGGAAGGGAGGAAUGAGGAGAUGAAAACAGACAUCUUCUGAAAGAUUUUGGAAUGAAUUCAGUGUGACCUCUCUGGCCUCCCUGACCUAUUAUCGCCAUGGUGACCGUCCUCUAGCGACCAGCCUCAUCAAUCAGACACAGCGACAGCUCAUCUGUCCCCUGCACCGCACACACCAGGGCCUCCAGCCAGAUGUUUGCGCGACAGAAAAAAACGGCUCCUCCGAUCAAUGGAGCCGCUCUGCACGGUAAGGAA